UACGGCCGUAUCACGUUUAAGCACCGGUUCUCAUCCGAUCAACGAAGUUAAGUAACGUUGAACCUGGUUAGUAGUGGGUGACCGUUCGGCAAUACCAGGUGUUGUAAG